UACGAAGGGAGCUAGCGUUGUUCGGAAUCACUGGGCGUAAAGCGCACGUAGGCGGACGUGUCAGUCAGGGGUGAAAUCCCGGAGCUCAACUUCGGAACUGCCUUUGAUACAGCACGUCUUGAGUCCGGAAGAGGUGGGUGGAAUUCCUAGUGUAGAGGUGAAAUUCGUAGAUAUUAGGAAGAACACCGGUGGCGAAGGCGGCCCACUGGUCCGGUACUGACGAUGAGGUGCGAAAGCGUGGGGAGCGAACAGG
rnacentral:rRNA from 1 species